rnacentral:rRNA from 1 species
UGGGGAAUUUUGGACAAUGGGCGAAAGCCUGAUCCAGCCAUACCGCGUGAGUGAAGAAGGCCUUCGGGUUGUAAAGCUCUUUCGGCAGGAAAGAAAAGGAAUCCCCUAAUACGGGAUUCUGAUGACGGUACCUGAAGAAGAAGCACCGGCUAACUACGUGCCAGCAGCCGCGGUAAUACGUAGGGUGCGAGCGUUAAUCGGAAUUACUGGGCGUAAAGCGUGCGCAGGCGGCUUUUUAAGCCAGAUGUGAAAUCCCCGGGCUUAACCUGGGAACUGCAUUUGGAACUGGAAGGCUAGAGUGUAGCAGAGGGGGGUAGAAUUCCACGUGUAGCAGUGAAAUGCGUAGAUAUGUGGAGGAAUACCGAUGGCGAAGGCAGCCCCCUGGGUUAACACUGACGCU